UCCAGUGUAAGGAGCUGGAGGAAUAAGGAGAGGGCAAGACUGGUGUCAGCCGCCGCGGUAAUACCAGCUCUCCGAGUGGUAGGGAUGUUUAUUGGGCCUAAAGCGUCCGUAGCCGGCUCAUCAAGUCCUCCGUUAAAUCCAGCGAUUCAAUCGUUGGGCUGCGGGGGAUACUGUUGGGCUAGGGGACGGGAGAGGCCGACGGUAUUCCCGGAGUAGGGGUGAAAUCCUAUAAUUCCGGGAGGACCACCAGUGGCGAAGGCUGUCGGCUAGAACGAGCUCGACGGUGAGGGACGAAAGCUGGGGGAGCGAACCGGAUUAGAUACCCGGGUAGUCCCAGCCGUAAACGAUGCGGGCUAGGUGUUAGGGUGGCUACGAGCCACUCUAGUGCCGCAGCGAAGGCAUUAAGCCCGCCGCCUGGGGAG
rnacentral:rRNA from 1 species